AGAGCAUGUCACUUGCCAUGCCACGGUUGUGGGAUCAAUUCCUACGGGGGACCGGUAUUGAAAAACUAUGGGGAAAAUUAACACAAAUGUUUUGCUCACUACUGCAAGUCUCUCUGUUAAAUGACUAAAACGUCAAUAUAUUCAGGCUGAGCACUAGGAGUGUGUAAUAUGGAGUUUAUAUGUUAGCAUCCCACCUCAGCAGCUUCUCAAACCCUUGUGAUGUACCUGUCCUGCUGUCCAUACCUUCUCCACGGCAUUCUUGACCCUUUAUCUCUGGCAGUCAGAGCAGGUUCAGGGAGAACAUAACACAACCAGACAGUAGCUGACCACAAGGCUAGGCUGAGGUAUCUCUGCAGUCCAGAGCAGGUUCAGGGAGAACAUAACACAACCAGACAGUAGCUGACCACAAGGCUAGGCUGAGGUAUCUCUGCAGUCCAGAGCAGGUUCAGGGAGAACAUAACACAACCAGACAGUAGCUGACCACAAGGCUAGGCUGAGGUAUCUCUGCAGUCCAGAGCAGGUUCAGGGAGAACAUAACACAACCAGACAGUAGCUGACCACAAGGCUAGGCUGAGGUAUCUCUGCAGUCCAGAGCAGGUUCAGGGAGAACAUAACACAACCAGACAGUAGCUGACCACAAGGCUAGGCUGAGGUAUCUCUGCAGUCCAGAGCAGGUUCAGGGAGAACAUAACACAACCAGACAGUAGCUGACCACAAGGCUAGGCUGAGGUAUCUCUGCAGUCCAGAGCAGGUUCAGGGAGAACAUAACACAACCAGACAGUAGCUGACCACAAGGCUAGGCUGAGGUAUCUCUGCAGUCCAGAGCAGGUUCAGGGAGAACAUAACACAACCAGACAGUAGCUGACCACAAGGCUAGGCUGAGGUAUCUCUGCAGUCCAGAGCAGGUUCAGGGAGAACAUAACACAACCAGACAGUAGCUGACCACAAGGCUAGGCUGAGGUAUCUCUGCAGUCCAGAGCAGGUUCAGGGAGAACAUAACACAACCAGACAGUAGCUGACCACAAGGCUAGGCUGAGGUAUCUCUGCAGUCCAGAGCAGGUUCAGGGAGAACAUAACACAACCAGACAGUAGCUGACCACAAGGCUAGGCUGAGGUAUCUCUGCAGUCCAGAGCAGGUUCAGGGAGAACAUAACACAACCAGACAGUAGCUGACCACAAGGCUAGGCUGAGGUAUCUCUGCAGUCCAGAGCAGGUUCAGGGAGAACAUAACACAACCAGACAGUAGCUGACCACAAGGCUAGGCUGAGGUAUCUCUGCAGUCCAGAGCAGGUUCAGGGAGAACAUAACACAACCAGACAGUAGCUGACCACAAGGCUAGGCUGAGGUAUCUCUGCAGUCCAGAGCAGGUUCAGGGAGAACAUAACACAACCAGACAAUAGCCGACCACAAGUCUAGGCUGAGGUAUCUCUGCAGUCCAGAGCCAUUGUAUCAGUGAAGGCCAGAUGGAUGUGGUCUGAUACCGUCUCACCUCCAUCCAUCGCCUCUGUCAAGACUUCUGUCAGGGGUCAAUAUCACUACACACCUGGAUGCUCACAGAUAGCAGAUCACACCAGUCUGUGUACACACACACACACACACACACACACACACACACACACACACACACACAAACGCAGUGUGAGAACAGGUAAGAGAGAAGCUCCUGCUGUUAGUGUAACACUUAACCACUGUCAUGACACCAGCAUGUACAGGACAACAUUUGACCCCCAUAUUCACAGCCAGUGGCAUUAUAGUCUCUGUAAGGGCAGGAAGACAAUUAAGGACUAAUUAAGAAUACAGAUGUGUGUGUUUGACAUCCUGGGUUUUGGGCUCCCCCAGUGGGUGAGGAAUGGGUGGAGGGGUAUGAAGGUUGUUCUACCCAGCAGCCUCUCUCUAUGAGGGGAAGGGAGGGAUGGGUGUGUCCUGAGUGACCCAGGUCUGUCUGCGGUUUGAGAUUUUCAUUAUACCAGCAUCACCCUUACUCCACAACACUGUCGUGCUCCAGGAUCUCACUGGUUUAUUGCUUUAGUUAAUUCAUUGUCUAUACACACACCCAUGUGACGCCCAUGUGAUUGUGUGUACUGGGUGUCAUUACAGCUGUAGACCUCUGCUCUUAGCCUCCAAUGCAUAUUUUGUUAUAUACAUUUUUUUUGUUUACCAGAAGUGUCUAUCAAGAGCAACUUACAGGAGCAAUUGGGGUCAAGUGCCUUGCUCAACACUUUUUUUCAAUGAUUCGAACAAGCGACCUUUCGGUUACUGGCUCAACGCUCUUAACCGCUAGGCUACUGGCCACCCUGUUAUUGGUGAGGAGAGCCUUACUGUGUGGUGGUGCAGUUAAUGGAAAAGUAAUUCUUGUCUUUUAGGCAGAUGUAACUAUUUAAGUCAGAGGAAAGUAAUAUGAUGGCCUUUUUUAAUCUACUCCUUAUUCUGAAUGAUGAUAAUACAGAGACAGUAUUUUUCAUUUUCUUCCUUUUUUGUUAAAGGUCCAAUGCAGAUUUUUUUUAAAUUAAAAAAUCAAUAUCAAAUAAUUUCAGGGUAACAAUUCAGUACCUUUUAUGUGAUUGUUUUCAAUUAAAAUGGUCAAAAAGAAACAUCAUCUUAGAAAAUAGCAAUCUUUCAAGCAAGAAUUGGACAGGGACUGUCGGAGUGGAAAACUGAACUAGCGGUUAUUGGCAGAGGUUUGGAACCCUCUUUCUUAUUGGUCUAUUAACUAAUUAAAUGCCAUACCACUGAAAUUUAAGCCUGUCUAUUCAUAGUUGUGACACUAAAAGGGCAUUAUCAUAAAUUUCACAAUUUCAUGGUAUUAUACCAACCUCUGUGAGAGAAAAUAUAUAAAACAGGCAAAUCAUGUUUUUGACUACUCUGGGCCUUUUAUGAAAGACUGAGUUCAAACAUCAGGACUAUACUGCCAUCUAAUGUUUCUGGACAUAAUUUUUCACACCUGUCUCAAUCCAAUCCUCGAUUCUUGCGUAUGUGUGUCUC